GACGAACGCUGGCGGCGUGCUUAACACAUGCAAGUCGAACGGAAAGGCCCUGCUUUUGUGCGGUGCUCGAGUGGAGAACGGGUGAGUUACCCUUGAGUACCCUGCCCCUGACUUUGGGAUAACUUCAGGAAACUGGGGCUAAUACCGGAUAGGAGCUUCUGCUGAAUGGGGGGGGUUGGAUAGUUUGCAAGGUUGGGGAUGGACUCGCGGGUUAUCCAGGUGUGUGUGGGGUAUUGGCUUGGCAAAGCGUUGACAGGUAGACGGCCUGGGAGGGUGACCGACCACAUUGGGACUGAGAUACGGCCCAGACUCCUACAGGAGGGAGCAGUGUGGAAUAUUGUACAAUGGGCGGAAGCCUGAUGCAGCGACGUCGCGUGCGGGAGAAGGGGCUUCUUGUGGUAAACCGCUUUCGCCUGUGACAAGGCGUGAGUGACGGUAAUGGGGAAAGAAGCACCGGCUAACUACGUG
rnacentral:rRNA from 1 species